rnacentral:lncRNA from 1 species
AUGCAAUCCACGCUUGUCUAACUUGGAGUUUUGUGGUGAGCGAACCCACAUGUCAGAACCAAAAAUCUUCAUGUGUUUGAUGUAUGGCUUCUUGCCAAACAUCUUCUCAUAGGGGGUACAACCAAUCGCUGAAGAUAAUCUGCGAUUGUAACUGUAAACAAAACACGAGAGAGAUUCGGCCCAAUAACUCUCUGGAAGAUUGGCAUCAUGCAGCAAGGUUUUUAACCCUUGAAGCAAAGUCUGAUUUGCCCGUUCCGCAAGUCCAUUCUGCCAUGGCGAGCGAGGACUAGACAAAUCGUGUUGAAUUCCUUUCUCAGUCAGAAAAGCUUCAAACUGCUGAGAAGUGAAUUCCCCCCCGCGAUCACUGAAAAGAGUCUUUAUCUUCUUCCCAUGCACAUUUUCCAACCAAGCACAGAAUUCCUUGAACCUAGGAAAAGCCUCCGAUUUCUGCUUGAGAUUGUACACAAAAAUAUAUCUAGAAAAUGCAUCAAUGAGAACCAUGAAGUAUCUAUUUCCACCUAAAGAGGGCGUUAGUGGUCCAACCAAAUCAGCAUGAACAACCUGGUAUGGUUCUGUAGCUUUCCUACUAGACACCUUACCUUUCGCAGCCAUUUUCACCUUGUUUGCUGCGCAUGCUUUGCACUUCAUGUGGUACCUGCAGGGUUUAAUAGUCAUACCUUCAACCAAGGCAGGCAUUUUAGAUACUGCCUCAAAAUGCAAAUGACCAAAUUCACGAUGAAAAUCGUGAAUACAUUCUGCAUGCAAACUUUUGUUAGAACCUGCAAUGCAACAAGUGUCAUCCUGCACCACAUCAUCAUAAUACAAAACAAACAAACGAUCAACAUAUUCUGCAUGCAAUAUAUAAUCAUUUUUCUUUGUGAUGAUGCACUUCUUGUUCUUGAAGGAAACGUCAAUGUUCCGCUCAUUCAGCUGUCCAACGCUGAGCAGAUUAUGUUUGGCGUCUGGCACGUAAAGCACAUUCUGUAUCGUUAAGUCCAAACUGUGAAGAGCAACAGUUCCGUAGCCUUUACUGGGAAUAGUGUGGUCAUCCGCCUGGUGAAUCGCACCUUCCUGCGGUGUAAAAGACACAAACAGUUUCUUAUCGUUGCACAUGUGGUGGGUGGCCGCUGAAUCAACAACGAAGAAAGAUCUAGACGUCUUCUGGACCUCUGCAACCUUUGGAGUGAAGCGUGAAACCAUAGCCUUGUGCUGCGUUGUCCUAGACACCGGACCUUUGCCUUUGCCUCGGCCUUUUCCGCGCGAUGAGCUUCGCUGCGCUGCUCUGUCUUGGCCCUGGGAUGUCUGCAUUCCCUCUUCAUAUGGCCUAGACGUCCACAUGAGUAGCAUUUCACUGCCUUCAAAGCUUUGGCGCCAUCUGGUGGUUCCACUGCACUAUGGGAUGACGUCUGUGAAGACUCCCCUUGCCCAUGCAGCUAGCACCCCGGCGAUCUGCUUCAUUUAAAAUCACGGCAGUAACAAAGUCCACUGUCAGCUGAGCAGUUGGUUGCACAGCAAUCUGGGUUGCAACAGACUCCCAACCUGAACCCAAAGAUUGUAGUAUCAUGAAAGAAUACACAGCCUCUGGAAAGUUGAGUCCUCUCUGUUGCAGCUCAUGUCUCAGAUUUUGCAUCUCCAUCAAAUGUAAACGCACAUCUCCACCUUCAGCAAGAGCCAUAUUGUGCAGCUUGUUAAUGUAAAACAUAGUGGAUCCAGCUUCUGUCCUUAAGUGAGCCUCUUUCAGAGCGUCCCAAAUUUCUCUGGCUGAGGUCUUAUCACGCAAUAGACAGAGCUCUUCUGGGGAUACUAUCAAUGUAAGAGUUCCCCUUGCUUUGGAAUCCUUAGCUUCCCAUGCAUCUGUAACUGGAACUGGGGGUUCCUGUAAUCACCUCAAACAAACCCUCUUUCCGCAGAAUUGCCUCUGCAUACUGAACCCAGUCGCUGUAAUUAUUCUUGUUGAGCUUAGGAAUCCCACAAGCAUCCUGAAGGGCCAUCAUGACUCUGGCAUUAGCCUUCAGCGUCAUAUGCUGCUUUAAAUCUUGCUGCGUCACUGCUGCAGCUGCUUCAUUACAAAGGCACACUUAAAAGUUAGUUUCGAUUUCCCCAGCAUAGUGACUUGUGCCUGGGAGCCUUUUGCCUAUUUGCAAAACCGGCUUUAAAAGUUCAAAGUCCAGCCAUAAAGCCAUUAACUUGAAGCUGGCAGGCUGCCCGGAGCAGUAGCACAUACCUCAUCAAUCACUUCUACGCGCAGAGCAGAUUCCUUUCCGAUCCGUCCCUCUGCAUUCCGAUCCUCUGCCGGCACUCCGAUUCGACCUCUGGAGUCCAUAACCACGUGUUGAUUUAAGCAGAGUCUUGGUGCCCAGCGGAAGGAUGAGGAAAAUGUGCUACAUACUCUAUAUUGCUUUAUUUACAGUUCAAAGCUGGUAUAUUACAGAAAGACAUCUUGCCUCUGCAGGAGCAGAAAAUGCAUCCUCUCUCCUCGAGAGCUUGGAGAGAAAACACACAGUGAAAAACAGGAAACCAGUGUACGUCACAUCCAGUCUCCCUUUCCCGUGAGAAACUCCAACAGUACAGACUGUGGAAUGUAAACACCUGUCUUGUGACUGCAGUUGCUGCUCAGUGAAGGAAAUAGAAACCAACAGUCAGACCCAUUCUACAUCACAGAAACGUAUUCAUUCAAGUUUUUUUUGUCAUUUAUUAAAAUGUACAAGAGUUUUAUGAGUUUUGAUUUUGCAUCUUUGACCUUCAUGGUUAAUCUUAGAGACAUGCAGCAAUAUUCAACUAAAUUUAUUUAGAGUAGAGCAACUGAAAACAAUUUAGUCAUGUUCAUGAAUGUUAGUAGUUCUACUCUGAGUAAAACGUAGUUGGAUAACUCCCAUAGUUUAGCUUUUGACAGACACAUGUCCGCAGCUUUUGAAAACAAAAUGUCUGGAUUGAUGAGGCCACAAAACUCCCAGGGGUCUCUGCUUCAACUUUUGCCUGCAUCAUAGAGAUCUUGUCUCACAGAAGCCCCAUAUCCUUCUGAGACAUCCGUCUUCAACUUGUCAUCUGAAAUUCACACAAAUCAUGGCUUGCUCUGUUGAACUGUUGGGAAACUGUGGCCCUCCAAAUGUUGCUGGACUGUAAAUUCCAUCAUCCAUGACCAUUGGUCAUAAUGGUUAGAGGUGAUGGGAGAUGGAGUCCAUCAACAACCAAAGAUCUGUAGGUUCGCCACUCCUGCUCCAAGGCUUUGGUUCCUCAGUUGGAACAACCCAUUGCUCACCUUGCUCCACCUCCCUUCCAGGAUCUGAGCCUCGGCCUAUUUUUCACCAUGACACCCUCCUCUGUCCUCUCUAAUCUUUGCUUGCCUACCCCAGAAUCCAUUCAUCACCUGUUUUAGUUGCCUCUGGACUCUCGAUUGCUGCCUUUGGAUUCUUCCUUGCUCCGCACCAUUUGCCUCUGAACUCACUUGACUCCAAGCAUUUCGUAGGAAUGAUAUGCCACAAAUAAUAGAAAUUAUCUCUUUCCUGAAGGAGCCAAUACAUGAAGAGAGCCGCACCAUUGGCUGAAACUGGGGGCAUUUUGCGGAAUAGGAUUUUUCAUUUUACAGGGUAUUUUGUGCCGGUAUGGCCAAAUAAACACCUUUCCUGCACCACAGCAAAUGUAUAUAUAUCGUUUCCAGCUGACCUUUUUGUAACCUCUAUUAAGGGGCAAAAUGCAACUCAGAUUUCACAUUCAAUGAAAAAGAUGCUCACAUCUUUCUAGCUGAAUGCAUUAAGCCUGGCAGUGGUGUCAGGAAGCCGCUUUGCACUACAUGUUAAUCUUGCCUUUAAAUUUCAUUUCUGAGUCUUCUGAGUUCAGAAUGUAUCACCUUUGUUUAUUCAUGAGCCCUGCACUGUCCUGAUAGAAAGUCGCUGGAAGUUCAGGAGAAGGUUUGCUGGCCACAACUCGGUCAUCGCUAUUUGUCAAUAAUUUUGAAAUGACACAUUUCUGAAAAGGCAGCAUCUCAACUCAGCUGGGAAUUUCUUGUGCGCAGCUCAGCUCUGAUGUGGCAAAAUGAGAAGAGCCACCAACUUUUCUCGGAGUGAAACUGAGGCCACAUCUGCACCUUCCAUUUGAAGCAUACCACUCAGAAUGAUUAUCCUUCUUGGAAAUGUAGCUCUCUGAAGAGAGUAGGGGUCUCCCAACAGCUCCCAGUACCCUUAACCACCCUGAGAUCUUAUGAUGAAGGGCGGUAUAUAAAGCUAAUAAAUUAAAUAUAUCUAUUGAAAAUAAACAAACUGCAGUUCCCAGGAUUCUUUGGAGGAAACCAUGUAUGAUACGCUUUAAAUGUAAGGUACAGAUGUGGCCUUAGAGGUGAAGACCUUGAGAAAAUCCUCUGGAUGAUUCUAUGAAGACAAAGAAUAACAGUGGUGGGAAGAAUACCAACUCACUGUUUGUUGCAGAUAUUAAUAUUGCGCAGUUUGAAACGACUGGAAGCAUAAGAACUGACUCCUUUUGGAAAUGAUUCAUUGUCCAAGCCCAUAAAAGUAGUGUUCAAACAGAGCCUGAGAACAAAGACUCAGCUGCCAUCCUUUCAAGAUGGUGAAUCUGCAGUUCAAUAGCCUCCCAUGUGAUCUAAUGUUAAACACUCGCAUGUUAGCUAGCAGAGAAUAACAGUUAAUUAUAUCAACCCAUCAAGGAGCUCAGAGAGCCCUUCUUACACUACUUUAACUUCAAUGAAAUCUUCCAGCAUUAUCCAUUUCAGUGUCAAUUAAAUAAUUAUGCUUAACAUGUUAUCGUGUACUUAUGUUCUGAGUGCCACGCCUUACAUGAAGGAGGCUGCAGGUUUGAUUCUUGGUAUCUCCAGUUAAAAGUUUCAGGUGACCAGUAAUGGAUACUCUGGAGAGCUGCUGCCGUCAGAGCUACCAGUACUGAGCUACUGCUGUUAGAUGGCUUCCUGUCUUCUACCAGCUUCUUAAUUCAUUUUUUAAACUAAAUUAAAAUCUCCCUUCAUGUGCCAUUGCCCUCUCCAGGUGUUUUUUGGGAAUGGUAGGCAAAUGCUUCAUAUUUAUCUGCAAGGCCAAUGUUACCUCUUUUUUAAAAAAGCCCUUAAAACAUAUUAUUUUCAUUUCUGGCAAGAGGGACACACAACCCACGCCUUCAGGGGGGGAGAUGAAAAGGGGAAAAAAGCUAAAGGAACAUCUGGUGGAAGAUAUCAUCAAGGGUUUCCUCAGAAUUUUUAAGCUCUCUGAAGUCCGUUUGCAUCCACGGCAAGAUUCUCAUGAACGUGAUCAUCAUGAAAAUGUUGAUUUAAAGCAGAGUCUGGUUGCCCAGCGGAAGGAUGAGGAAAAUGUGUUACAUACUCUUUAUUGCUUUAUUUACAGUUCAAAGCUGGUAUAUUACAGAAAGACAUCUUGCCUCUGCAGGAGCAGAAAAUGCAUCCUCUCUCCUCUCUCAGCUCGGAGAGAAUCACACAGUGAAAAAACAGGAAACCAGUGUACGUCACAUCCAGUCUCCCUUUCCCGUGAGAAACUCCAACAGUACAGACUGUGGAAUGUAAAACAAUGUCUUGUGACUGCAGUUGCUGCUCAGUGAGGGAAAUAGAAACCAACAUCCUCCCCUUUCUGUGAACAUCACUGGGCAGCGUGUUCGUACAGUAUCAGUACAAACCCAACUUCUGCACAUAGGUACAGUGUUGAUCCCUUGAUACAAUCUUGGACAAUACAUCAGCAGGAAUUUCAUUACCUGGCAUAUAGGACACCGUUACGAGUCCCUUCUGAAUACAUUCCCUAGCAUGCUGCAACUUUAAUUGUAAGUGCUUUGUGCUUUGCUUACAACCUUCAGACUUCAGCAAAGCCAAACAUGCUUUGUUGUCCUGGUAAACCUGGAUUGGACAUUUGACAGGAAUUUUCAUAUCUUUGCACAAUUGUACUAACCAUUCACAAUCCUUAAGUGAAUAAGACAGUGCAUUCAGUUCGGCUUCACAAGUACUUAAGCUAACUGUUGUUUGCUUCUUGCAUGACCAAUCAAACAGACUCUGAUUGUACAUGUAGCAAACUCCAGACGUACUUUUCCUGUCUGUAGUGUCACUUCCAAAACUUGCAUCUGCAAAUAUCUCAAGACCACCAGACUUCUGAUUGUUAAAUCUCAGUCUGUAAUGCAUAGUGCCUUUCAAAUACCGCGCUAUGCGUUUCAGAGCUUUCCAAUCCUUGACACUAGGAUUGUUGACUUGUCUGCUUAGCAAAUUACAGCUAACAGCAAUGUCUGGUCUUGAACAUCUGGCAAUGAAGUUUAGCUUGCCUAGCACACUCCUGUACAGUGUAGUGUCAGAAAAUGCUUCUUCAGUGUCAUCUACCUGAUAACCUGUUGUCAUCGGUGUGUCUACAGGGUUAGCAUCCAUCAGAUUUAGUUUGCUUAACACAUCAGCAAUUUUCCGUGACUGGUGUACUAGAAUGUUACCAUCUUGAUCUCUCUCUAUUUCCAGAGAUAGGUAGUUGUUUACCUCACCAAGAUCUUUCAUGUCAAAGUGCUCUUUCAGUUGAGCUAGGGCGCUAUUGUACAUUGCAACAUCUUUCCAAAAGAAUAAUAAAUCAUCAACAUAAAACAAACAGUACAGUUUCUUUUGCCCCUCCUCUUUGACAAAUACACAUGGAUCAGCUUUCCCUUGCUGAAAACCUAGAGAAAACAAUACUUCAGUGAGUUUUGUGUGCCAACACCGUGCACUUUGUUUGAGACCAUAAAGGGAUUUCUUCAGAGCACAAACAAAUCCCUGUUUUACCUGUACGCCAUCAGGUGGAAGCAUAUAAAGUGAUUCAUCUAGAGAUCCGUACAGAAAAGCUGUAUUAAUAUCAUGGUGACUAAUGUGUAGAUUUUCCUCUGCAGCUAGCUUGAGCAUAAGCCUAAUGCUUUCAUAUCUCACUGUGGGUGAAUAGGUCUCGUGAUAGUCUUCACCUGGUACCUGUGCAAAACCUCUGGCUACCAAUCUGGCUUUGUGUCUGACUAUCUUGCCAUUUUGAUCUGUCUUCGCUUUGAAGACCCAUUUGCUUCCAAGCAGUUUCAUUCCUGGAACUACUGGAACUAGCUCCCAUGUUUUGUUCCUUUCUAAGGAAUCAAGCUCAGCCUUCAUGGCAUUUAACCAUGGCUCAGCUUCCUUUGAAUCCAAACCCUGGAUUUCUUGGAAACUUGAAGGUUCAAAUACCUUCUUGGAGCUUUUAACAGCUGUUACUGCUAUCUUAGCAAACUCAUCAGCAAAUCUCUUUGGAGGUUUGCCUUUGUGGCUCUCUGUGACCUACGAAUUAGCCUUAAGUCUUCAACACUCUCCUCUUCCUUCUUAGGAGAAAAACGACCUAUUGUGAACAAUGGUUCCUCCAAUUCUUGAUCAGAGCUUUCAGAGGGUCGCAUAGAGGCUUUCGCACUCUUGAAAUCCUCUGAAUCACCCGAUUCAGUUUCAGAUUCAGACUCAGAACCUUCAUCAGUGGGUGUGGGUUGUUGUGGUUGCUUUUGACUAUCCUCAGUCUCAUCACCGUCAUCAGGAUAACAUUGGAAAAUUCCCACAUUCUCCCCCACUUUGCAUUGUACUCAACACUUCUCGUGAGCUUAAUUGUCUUAGAGUCAGUCAUCAUUAUUCUGUAAGACCCUUUCUGAUAACCUAGAAAGAUACCAUGCAAUCCACGCUUGUCUAACUUGGAGUUUUGUGGUGAGCGAACCCACAUGUCAGAACCAAAAUCUUCAUGUGUUUGAUGUAUGGCUUCUUGCCAAACAUCUUCUCAUAGGGGGUACAACCAAUCGCUGAAGAUAGCCUGCGAUUGUAACUGUAAACAAAACACGAGAGAGAUUCGGCCCAAUAACUCUCUGGAAGAUUGGCAUCAUGCAGCAAGGUUUUUAAACCUUGAAGCAAUGUCUGAUUUGCCCGUUCCGCAAGUCCAUUCUGCCAUGGCGAGCGAGGACUAGACAAAUCGUGUUGAAUUCCUUUCUCAGUCAGAAAAGC